CAAAGUCAUGGUUAAGUGGGAAACGAUGUGGGAAGGCCCAGACAGCCAGGAUGUUGGCUUAGAAGCAGCCAUCAUUUAAAGAAAGCGUAAUAGCUCACUGGUCGAGUCGGCCUGCGCGGAAGAUGUAACGGGGCUAAACCAUGCACCGAAGCUGCGGCAGCGACGCUUAUGCGUUGUUGGGUAGGGGAGCGUUCUGUAAGCCUGUGAAGGUGUGCUGUGAGGCAUGCUGGAGGUAUCAGAAGUGCGAAUGCUGACAUAAGUAACGAUAAAGCGGGUGAAAAGCCCGCUCGCCGGAAGACCAAGGGUUCCUGUCCAACGUUAAUCGGGGCAGGGUGAGUCGACCCCUAAGGCGAGGCCGAAAGGCGUAGUCGAUGGGAAACAGGUUAAUAUUCCUGUACUUGGUGUUACUGCGAAGGGGGGACGGAGAAGGCUAUGUUGGCCGGGCGACGGUUGUCCCGGUUUAAGCGUGUAGGCUGG
rnacentral:rRNA from 1 species